rnacentral:rRNA from 1 species
AUGCAACGCGAAGAACCUUACCUGGUCUUGACAUCCACAGAACUUAGCAGAGAUGCUUUGGUGCCUUCGGGAACUGUGAGACAGGUGCUGCAUGGCUGUCGUCAGCUCGUGUUGUGAAAUGUUGGGUUAAGUCCCGCAACGAGCGCAACCCUUAUCCUUUGUUGCCAGCGGUCCGGCCGGGAACUCAAAGGAGACUGCCAGUGAUAAACUGGAGGAAGGUGGGGAUGACGUCAAGUCAUCAUGGCCCUUACGGCCAGGGCUACACACGUGCUACAAUGGCAUAUACAAAGAGAAGCGACCUCGCGAGAGC